rnacentral:rRNA from 1 species
UACGGGGGGGAGCAAGCGUUGUUCGGAUUUACUGGGCGUAAAGGGCGCGUAGGCGGUCGUGACAAGUCACUUGUGAAAAUCUCCCGGGGCUUAACUCGGGAACGGUCAAAGUGAUACUGUCGUGCUAGAGUACAGAAGGGGCAACUGGAAUUCUCGGUGUAGCGGUGAAUGCGUAGAUAUCGAGAGGAACACCUGCGGCGAAGGCGGUGCUGGCCGACACUGACGCUGAGGCGCGAAGCCAGGAGCGAACGG